AUUGAACGCUGGCGGCAGGCCUAACACAUGCAAGUCGAACGAGUGGCGGACGGGUGAGUAAUGUCUGGGAAACUGCCCGAUGGAGGGGGAUAACUACGGGAAACGGUAGCUAAUAACGCAUACCAUCGGAUGUGCCCAGAUGGGGUUAGCUUGUAGGUGAGGUAACGGCUCACCUAGGAGACGAUCCCUAGCUGGUCUGAGAGGAUGACCAGCCACACUGGAACUGAGACACGGUCCAGACUCCUACGGGAGGCAGCAGUGGGGAAUUUUGCACAAUGGGCGCAAGCCGGAUGCAGCCAUGCCGCGUGGAUGAAGAAGGCUUUCGGGUUGUAAAUUCCUUUCAGCGGGGAGGCGUUACCCACCUAAGAAGCACCGGCUAACUCCGUGCCAGCAGCCGCGGUAAUAC
rnacentral:rRNA from 1 species